CAUGUGGGGCAAGCGUUGUUCGGAAUUACUGGGCAUAAAGGGUGCGUAGGCGGUUUGUUAAGUCUGUGGUGAAAGUUUUCGGCCCAACCGGAAAAUUGCCGCGGAUACUGGCGAACUUGAGUGCGUGAGGGAUGGGGGAACGAGCAGUGUAGCGGUGAAAUGCGUAGAUAUUGCUCGGAAGGCCAGAGCCGAAGGGGCCCCAUUGGUACGUAACUGACGCUGAGGCACGAAAGCGUGGGGAGCAAACAGGAUUAGAUACCCUGGUAGUCCACGCCGUAAACGAUGAACACUAGGUGGGUGCCGAGCUAUCGGUGCCCGCCGUAGGCAAUUUGCUAAGUGUUCCGCCUGGGGAGUAUGGUCGCAAGGCUG
rnacentral:rRNA from 1 species